AGACUGAGUUAGACUUGCAAUAAUUAAUGGCCUCCACGGAUAAGUCACCGGAACCGACUCCGGCAAAAGGUCUGGAACCAACUCCGAGAGAGGCGAUGGGAGUGGGACAGUACAUGAUCAACAAGGUGCAAUAAUGAUACAGUUAGUAGAGCCCAUAAAGCAUAUUAGUCACCAUGCGUGUUCCUUCGCCAUCUAUAGCCACGACAUGUCUCGCCAGGUAGAGACUCACCACUGCUGCUCCAGACUCCACCAAAAUUUCAUCCAAUGCGUCGUCUAUGAUCUUCUUCUUUUCUCUCUCUUUUUGUUUCAACUUUCUCAAAACUCAAUAUCUUAUUUUUGGUUUCUUUUUUUCUCUCUCUUUUUGUUUCAAAUUUAUCAAAACUCAAUAUCUGAUUUGUUUAAUGUUUUGGUUGUGUGCUUGAUAGGUGUGGAGUAUAUUGUUUCUGAUGAUAUCUUUGAAACUAUGCCCGGAGUAAAAGAAACUUUUUUCUCAUGCUUAUGAGGUCAAAUCGGGUUUCUAGAUGAACCCUAGAGUUCCAGAGCUUAUUGGGAAACCGGAGCUCGAAAACCAAGCCAAAACUUACGGCAAAUUCUGUUGGGACAAGCUUCCUAUGGGUGCACUUGUGCUGAUGAUAUGUUAUAUGUUGAUGGAUUGAAUCUAAAGCUUAAUGACAUAAGUUGUUUUUAAGGAUAGGAUUAUAAUUUAUUAUAACCAUUUCAUUGAUAAUCAAUCUUCGUAUUACUACGAUUUCACUGGCAAUUAAUCUUUGUUCUUUUUUUUUAUUUCUUGUUCUUUCUUUUACACAAU